CUACGCGGCGGCAUGCCUCACGAUUAGUCGAACGGCAGCACGGGCUGCUUGCACCUGAGGCGAGUGGCGACGGUAUAUACAUCGGAACGUACCUUAUCGUGGGGGAUAACGCAGCGAAAGUUGCGCUAAUACCGCAUACGCCCUGAGGGGGAAAGCGGGGGACCGUAAGGCCUCGCGCGAUUAGAGCGGCCGAUGUCUGAUUAGCUUGUUGGUGAGGUAAAAGCUCACCAAGGCGAUGAUCAGUAGCUGGUCUGAGAGGACGAUCAGCCACACUGGGACUGAGACACGGCCCAGACUCCUACGGGAGGCAGCAGUGGGGAAUUUUGGACAAUGGGGGCAACCCUGAUCCAGCAAUGCCGCGUGAGUGAAGAAUGCCUUCGGGUUGUAAAGCUCUUUUGUCAGGGAAGAAACAGCAGCUCUAACACAGUCUGCGAAUGACGGUACCUGAAGAAUAAGCACCGGCUAACUACGUGCCAGCAGCCGCGGUAAUACGUAAGGUGCGAGCGUUAAUCGGAAUUACUGGGCGUAAAGCGUGCGCAGGCGGUUAUACCAGACA
rnacentral:rRNA from 1 species